GACGAACGCUGGCGGCGUGCUUAACACAUGCAAGUCGAACGGAAAGGCCCCUUUGGGGGUCCUCGAGUGGCGAACGGGUGAGUAACACGUGAGUAACCUGCCCUUGACUUCGGGAUAACUUCAGGAAACUGGGGCUAAUACCGGAUAGGAAUCCUUGCUGCAUGGUGGGGGUUGGAAAGCUUCGGCGGCUUUGGAUGGACUCGCGGCGUAUCAGCUUGUUGGUGGGGUAGUGGCUUACCAAGGCUUUGACGGGUAGCGGGCCUGAGAGGGCGAGCGGCGACAUUGGGACUGAGGGACGGCCCAGACGCCUACGGGAGGCAGCAGUGGGGAAGAUUGCACAAGGGGCGGAGGCCGGAUGCAGCAGCGCCGCGUGCGGGAUGACGGCCUUCGUGUGGUAGACCGCUUGCAGCAGGGGCGAAGCUUGUGGUGACGGUACCUGCAGAAGAAGCACCGGCUAACUACGUG
rnacentral:rRNA from 1 species